CUGAAACUAAGGAUCCACAGAGAGUACAGCCCCACUUGAAGAAGUGUUUUGAAGGUAUUAGUAAAUUGCGAUUUACUAAAGAUGAAGAAAUUAUUGGAAUGUUAUCGGAUGAAGAAGAGUAUGUUCCAUUAAGUGGAAAGAUUUAUCCAGCGGAUGCAAAAGGCAUGGUUGAGAAAUGGUU
rnacentral:lncRNA from 13 species